GUAGCUUGCUACCCGCUGACGAGCGGCGGACGGGUGAGUAAUGCAUAGGAAUCUGCCCGAUAGUGGGGGAUAACCUGGGGAAACCCAGGCUAAUACCGCAUACGUCCUACGGGAGAAAGGGGGCUCCGGCUCCCGCUAUUGGAUGAGCCUAUGUCGGAUUAGCUAGUUGGUAAGGUAAUGGCUUACCAAGGCAACGAUCCGUAGCUGGUCUGAGAGGAUGAUCAGCCACAUCGGGACUGAGACACGGCCCGAACUCCUACGGGAGGCAGCAGUGGGGAAUAUUGGACAAUGGGGGCAACCCUGAUCCAGCCAUGCCGCGUGUGUGAAGAAGGCCCUCGGGUUGUAAAGCACUUUCAGCGAGGAAGAACGCCUAUCGGUUAAUACCCGGUAGGAAAGACAUCACUCGCAG
rnacentral:rRNA from 1 species